GAGAGCUUUCUGCCCUGCUCCCUCCAAUGCCAAAGUGGAAAGUGAAAAUGCCUUCCUGCCCUGAUAAGGACUCACCUACUGAGUUUAUCAGCAUGUUUCAGCCUGAGAGAAUUUACCCCUCGGGGGAAAAAGAAGUUCAAGCCCUACAGCUCUGCCCAAGGCAAAAUGCUACAGGAAUUGGACAGAUGAAGCAGCCGAGCCGAAUCGAUAGCAACAGGCAGUGAACGCAUAUAAAUUUCAACCAGCAAAUGCUCGGCAUUGUCUCUUGGGCCUCCCAUCAACAGUAACAUCACUAAAUUUCCUGAUUUAAGGUUCUCACAAAAUAGAAAUCAAAUAACUAACAAAGUGCCAGCCACUCACAGACUUCAGGUUAAUGAGUUUGAUCUUCAUUAAUCAACCUGGAGUUUCUGAGUUGACUAACAUUUGGGAUAGAUGCUCCCACCUAAAAGGAUCGUGUUUCUUAUCAAUCAGGCUUAUCAAGGAACUCUGCUUCAGCUCUCAUUAGCCACGUCCCAUAUCCCAUCCAGCUAUUUAACAUUUGGAUAGAAUGUUGGGAGAAGAUGGGCUAGGAAUUGAAGAUACUAACACAAGUAUCCUUUCUCCUCUCUGGCCGUUACAGUGAUUUCCUUUAAA